GAUGAACGCUGGCGGCGUGCCUAAUACAUGCAAGUCGAGCGAACAGAUAAGGAGCUUGCUCCUUUGACGUUAGCGGCGGACGGGUGAGUAACACGUGGGUAACCUACCUAUAAGACUGGGAUAACUUCGGGAAACCGGAGCUAAUACCGGAUAACAUUUGGAACCGCAUGGUUCUAAAGUGAAAGAUGGUUUUGCUAUCACUUAUAGAUGGACCCGCGCCGUAUUAGCUAGUUGGUAAGGUAACGGCUUACCAAGGCGACGAUACGUAGCCGACCUGAGAGGGUGAUCGGCCACACUGGAACUGAGACACGGUCCAGACUCCUACGGGAGGCAGCAGUAGGGAAUCUUCCGCAAUGGGCGAAAGCCUGACGGAGCAACGCCGCGUGAGUGAUGAAGGGUUUCGGCUCUUAAAACUCUGUUAUUAGGGAAGAACAAACGUGUAAGUAACUGUGCACGUCUUGACGGUACCUAAUCAGAAAGCCACGGCUAACUACGUG
rnacentral:rRNA from 1 species